GACGAACGCUGGCGGCGUGCUUAACACAUGCAAGUCGAACGGAAAGGCCCUGCUUUGUUGGGGUGUCCGAUGGCGAACGGGGUAGUAAACAGUGAAUCACCUUCCCCUUGCCUUGGGAUUACUUACAGAAACCUGGGGCAAAUCCGGAUAGGAGCUCCCGUCUCGAGGGGGGGGGUGGAAAUGUUUCGGGGGUUGGGGAUGGACUCGCGGCUUAUCAGCUUGUUGGUGGGGUAGUGGCUUACCAAGGCUUUGACGGGUAGCCGGCCUGAGAGGGUGACCGGCCACAUUGGGACUGAGAUACGGCCCAGACUCCUACGGGAGGCAGCAGUGGGGAAUAUUGCACAAUGGGCGGAAGCCUGAUGCAGCAACGCCGCGUGCGGGAUGACGGCCUUCGGGUUGUAAACCGCUUUCGCCUGUGACGAAGCGUGAGUGACGGUAAUGGGUAAAGAAGCACCGGCUAACUACGUG
rnacentral:rRNA from 1 species